AUAAAAUAAGCUUUUUAUGCUAAGUAUUGUAUUUUCGAAAAACUUCUUAUAAAUAUGCUGCGAGAGACGUUGAAAAAUAUCAGUUUGCAUACAGUUUUCUUGUAGUAAACAUUCACAACCACCAAAAGAGCAAAAUGUUCAAAUAUUUUACCUUCGCCGCCCUCUUCGCAUUUGCCACCGCUGCUCCCGGGUUCAUCGCUGAACCAGUAGUUGCCAAAGUAGGUGCCGUUGUACACACCAUUCCCUCAGCCACCUCCCACCAGAGCAUCACUCAAGUGCACCGUAAUGCGCAUAUUGUUACACCGGUUGUGAAAGCUGUGUCUCCAGUGGUUCAUGUUGCUCCAGUUGUAAAGACCUAUUCUGCCCCUGUGAUUCCAGUAGUCAAGACUGUUGCUCCCGUCGUCCCAGUAGUGAAGACUUACUCCGCUCCAGUUAUUCACGCUGCUCCAGUCGUUCCAGUUGUGAAGACCUACUCCGCCCCGGUUGUUCAUCAUGUACCAGUUGUGAAGUCGGUUGUUUCUCCCGUGGUGCCAGUGGUCCAUGCUGCUCCAGUCGCUCACAUUGUUCAUCACUAAACAUUUUUCAGUGAUCGUGAAGUUGUUAAAUAAAUAUAUAAGCUUUCACUCUACAAAACCUCUCCGCAUUUUUUAAUUUUUAGUAAAUAUAAAAUACUUAUAUAACUGGGGUUAGUUAAUAAUAUUGUUAGAAAUCAUGAAUUUAUAGUCAAAUCAAGAAGAACGCAAAUAAAUGCAGUGUGACCAAAAGCCUUGGUCAGACCGCACUAAUGCACAGUCCAUUAUAUGUGGAAUAUUCAACCAAAAUAUCAUUAGAUAUACACUGGGCCGGACUAUAAUGGAAAUUUGCAACUUGUCCGAAAAUAUUAGCAUGUUGACCUCGUGUUUUCCCGGAAAUUGGGAUCAAUGUGAAGUUUCAAGUUAGAAGCGACAUACUAACGGUAAAAGCAUUAAAGGGAGACUACUCUGCUUUAUAGACUGAUCGCUGGACAUAUGUUACUAAAAAGCGUGACACAACUAAUUCCAACCAAUCGUAUGACUGUAGUAAAAGUUAGAUUUAAGCAGUUGGAACAAUCGGAAAAUCGAUAUAUCGAGGGAAAUAGAUAUAUCGGCCAAAUCAAUGUCAAACUGAUUUCCACAUGAAUGCCUACUGUCGGUCCACUGGUCAUCUUCUGGCAAUGCGCUUGAAGAGUUUGUUCUCACACAAAAAAUAUUAUAUAUAAAAUUUUUUAUUUGGAUUAGUGAUUUAUUUGAAAUAAUUAGGUAUGUAUUAAAUUUAAAAAAUGUGUUGGUGAUCUGUGCUUAUGUGUUUUAGUGCUUAAUCGCGCUAUUUUACCGCUCCGUGUGAAAAAUUGUUUCAGCAUAUGAAAUCCAAUUUUUUGUGGAAGAAAAAUAGGGUGCUGCGCCCUGGUGUUUGAUUUGUUUGUUAAUUUAUUAUAUUGUGUAUAUCAAGUUAAAAAACUAGCUGCAGUUUUUUGCAAGUUUUUGAUUUUUUGGAGUUUUUUAGAUACAAUGUCAGUCUCGAAACGCACCCUUUUUUAAAUUGUUGCAGCGAAUCAGUAGCCACAAACAAAUUUUUGGCGGUGGAAAAUCAUGUGUUUUCUAUUGUUAUUGAUUCCUCAAAGUUUAAUGAAGAUCAAUGCCAACAAAUUCAAAAACAAUUAAGAAAUUUGGUUAUUAAACUGGUGGAUAAGAGGAAAACGAGUGACUGGAUCAUGGUAUUGUCUUAAGAGCGAAAUAAUCAAUGGUUAGAUGACGAUCUAACUUCUUCUGAAGCAGUCGUUGAUCAACGUAAACACAAAACUUUUUCAGAGUGCGCAAUUAAGACCCAAACAAAAAAAUUUCAUCUGUCGUUGAUAAAAACCCCACACGAAGAGUAAAUGGCAGCAGCGCGCGAAGGCUGGAAAAAGGAAUGCUUCGCAAGUCCUUCCAAUGUUGGCCUCAGAAUUUGCAUUGACUUCAAAAUAUAGUUAAAAGUUUAAUUGUUGACACAAAGCUUUGGCUUUCUUUAUAGAUGGAGGCUACACAAAAAGCUCUUAUAAAUGGAAACUGCAAUAGUUAUGCGAGCUAUUGUAUAAUGUUUUGGUUAAAAGUAAAGGUAGUGUUACCCCAAUGGCAUACGCUUUGGUACGCGUGAUUUUACAUGCCUCCAUCGAUUCAUUGUAUAUGGUGCAGAUAUUAUUGAAAAUGUUUCGUUACCAACAGGAAUGAUGCUAGAAGAAGCGCUUGAAGCAAACACAAAAAUUUAUGCAAUUAUAAUUUGAAUCACACUAGAAAAACCUCUAGACAGCACACAAUGGAAGACUUAAUGCUCCGUCCAUCGGUCGUCGCACCCUCUCAUAACCUAGAAAUCUAAAAGUACCGCGAAGUACUCUAAAAAUCACAUUCAUAUAGAUGAUGAGGUCAAGCAGCUUCUUUCACAUGCGAAUGAGUUACCGGACAGCCUUGUGUCCUAAUGGUCGCACUCGAAAUUAAUUUCUAAACAUUUUUUUGAAUACCACAAAAAAUGUGAAGAUGUAGAGCAUUUGUGUAUGGACGUGGCCACAACAUCUAUUGGGUUUAAUGUACAUAUUUCGUAAACUAUUUAAGCUUUAUAUAAAUUUAAUCUAAGCAUUUCGUUUGAGCAUUUCAUGAAUACCUAGUCGGAAAACGCUUUAUACGUAUAUCGGUAUAAAAAUUGACCAAAUUCCCUUAUGAAAUGGAAUAAAUCAAAUUACACCUACGCCAUUAUAAUUUCCAUCAUAUUCUUUCAUUGACUUCAAAGUGUGGCACCUUUAACAAAUAUAGGGGAAAUGCUUGCGAAUAAUUGAACCAUAUACUAUGGACUAAACUAAGUUUUCUUAGAGAUAUUCACUCCUAAGAAAAAAAGUAAUUUCUCCGUUUUUCGAAUUACGUUUCAAAAUCGAUUUAUUUUCCGUCCAAUUUCGAAAUUGUUCAUAUUGAAAAUAUAAUUAUGAAAUACAGUAGCUAAGCCAACAGGUAAAAUAUAGGCUUCAUGCUCAUAUUCUCUCAUUCUAAUGGUUUAUACACCCAGAUACUUGCAAAAAUUAAUUAAUAAGAAACUGGAAAUCGACAUAAUACUUGUAUGUUAUAUCUGUUUGCGAAAUCUGCGCGUUAGGGGAACAUAGAAGAAGUAGCCCUCAGAUGUAGAUGUGAUGUAAAUGUGGGUGUAGAAAUUGGUAGUUAUUGCUCUUGAAAGUUGCAGUGUCCUAAUCGAAGUUAUCUGAGAAAUGCAAGUUGUGUUGCUUCUGAGUCGAUUGAGAAGAAUAAUACUUAACACAUACUUGUAUAUGACACGAACUUGUAAUAACGAAUGAUCCAACGCCUUCUAAAAUGCAUAUACAUACAUAUGUAUGUACGUACAUAAUUCAAUUAGAUUUUUGUCCGCUGUCCAUUCAUUCGAAGUGUGUGUAUAAUAAUAAUGCUUGAAGUGCAGAAACCGGUUACAGAAAACGGUUGCUCUUUAACUCCACACGUUCCUAUAUAUGUAUGUAUUCAACUACUCACUUAUGUAUAAGUAUUGUAUAAGCCUAAGAUUUCUAUUUCUGCCUAUAUAAUUUGCUUUUAAACGUGUACUUUUCGUCUCUCAUUAACAACAACAAAUUAGAUAUGAUAAGCAAUUUGAUUGAUGUCGAGCUUGGUGCUAAGCGCCAAAUGGUUUUGUAUAAAAAAUCAUCCGUUCCAACUUAACUGUAAACCAUGCAAAUAAACAAUUCUCAAAAUGUUUUAAUACGUAAGUAAAUUUCGUUAAAAUUAGUUCGAUAGUUCUUAGAUAUAAGAUUUCACUAAAUGUUGUUGGUGUCAUGCCCAUUUUUCAAUUUAUACACUUCCUUCUAUUAAGCUCUUCCCUACUACUACUACUACGAAGUGCAGCCUCUUUCAGGGAGGUGAGCCUUCGCUCCGACAUCAGAGCAGCAAUACUAGCUCUGAGCUCGCUAAUUGCUCGUUCACUAGAAACAGCAGCAAGCUACUUCAUCAUCAAACUCGUUUGGGUGCCUGGUCAUAGCGGAAUCGCUGGCAACUGCAACGCCGAUGAGCAAGGCAGUGGGCACCCUUGCCUCCGCAAGCAUUCCGACCAUCUCCUAUGCGACUGCUACUACUUGCCCUUAGCAAAGUUCAUGUUGCCACAAUCGUCGAUUUGUAAGGAUCUUAUGUCUUUGAGAAUUAUAUACUGCUGUCUAAAAUGUUCAUUUUCAUAACUUUUCAAAACUUAAAUUGUUUUCAAAACUUAAUUGUGAAAUUUUUUCAAAAUUAAUUUCGUUUUCGGUAGCGAUCUCUGCAUCUCUUGUGGAUCAACUCAACACAUUUUGUUAAUGUCCUGGGUAUGAAGCGGGCCAAUGCCAGACUUGUACCAAAAGGCCGGGAUCGUUUGGAAAAACAACGUCGAGUAGAAGUGACAAAAGAGAUGCUUAACAACACAGAUGAGGACCUUAAAUUCAUCCAACGUAUCAUUGCUGGUGGCGACACGUACUGAGGCUUAUAAUUGGAUUAAACGUUGGAAAAUGGAAUGGAAAAUUGGAUUAAACGUUGGUGGCAAGGAACAUACUCGUAUGUAACUAGUUUCUUCAAUACAUCAAAAUUUUUACUCAAGUUAUCGGUUGCCCAGGCAGACAAGCGGACUGACAGUAUCACGGAUUUCAACACGUCUCUUAUCCACCUUAAUACACUCAACAUGCAACAUGUUGCGAGAGUAUAAAAAGUAACGGGUCGAUCAACUUGGUUAUAAGUGGUAUUAUUAAAAUGGAAUAAAAGCAUUAGCAGAGCUAGCACGGACAUCUGCAUAAGUUUGGAAUGUGCUUAAGUCAAUAUGCUACUCAAGUUAAAGGCAUUAUAUGAGAUAUAUCUUUUAAAGACUUGGAAGGCGGACCAAGCUUAAUUCUGCACGGGAGAUUGGGUACGACAGUAAUUGUUUGCAAAUUGUAGAGAAAUAAUGUGUUCCCUCAUUUUGUUAUUUGAAACAACCAGUGCAAAAAAUGGGCUCCACAUGUGUCACGUAACUCUUGCAUAUAUAUUCUGAAUGAAACUAACCCCCCUUUUGGAAGCACAGGAAGUGACCAGGUCUCCAUCGAAGUAAAAACAUUUUCUCAAACAACAGAGUCUUAUAGGACAGAGUGAAACGAAAAAGCGGACACGACUGCUCUGGUUCGAUCGAGAGGACAAUCUCCAUAAGCUACCCAGAACAUUGAGAUCAUAUAUAGUAAAGGCUGCUAGUAGUAGAGGAUAUCAGAGGGAUCUCAGGUCUUGGAAUACCAUAAAACAGGAUAAAUUACUUCGGUUAGUGUGUAUAGUAAUAUUUAUUUUAGUUGUUCCAGCUUCUUGAGGAGCAUAAGGCCGCGUCAAAUUGUCUCCAUUAAUUCAGCAGGUUCUUUAUUAGCACGUUCGACGAUAUAGAAAGUAAAAUGAGUGUGUAUAGUUCGAAGACGAAA